CGGCUUCUCCUUGCUUGUGUCCAUUGAUUCCACUCACUGCCCCUCCAUGUCUUGUAAAAACCAGCUGGUAAUUCCUUCAUUUUUUGUAAAAAAAUGUGGCAUUUACAGCUGAUUAAAACCCAUUUUUUAAUGGCUUCUCACCACCCCAUUUUUAUAUAAUUAGAUUAAAGCUUUUGCAAUGCAAUGGCUUUGAUCUUGUCAAGUUGUGUUUUCCCAGUAACUCGCUCCAGUGGUGGAUAUCAAAAUGGAGUUAAUGCCAGUGAAAAAACAUGCCUCCCCCAGCAGACAGAAGGGUUAUAAAAAAGCUCAGAUUCUUUAAGAAGUGCCCUAGGAACAAAGGAUCGCUGUUCCACUCUAACUACGACAACUAUCUGAUAGUGAUAGGACCCUAGGGAGAGGGAGGCUCUCUGGCCACUGCAACCUCUCUCCUCUCUCUCUCUCUCAACCUUUUCUUGUAUUAGAUGAUGGAAUUUGAGCAUCCCAAUGUAAAGCCAAAAAGAGCUCAUGCCUAUGGAGACUGGCAGCUGUAGCUGUAGCAGCUUCUUUGAAAGACCCAAAAGAUUUGCUUUUUUUUCUUUCCCCGUCCAUUCUUGUUUCCCCACCUUCAAAAGUUGAGGCCUUUUUUUCGGUUGUUUUUAUUCUCACACCUGUGCUUCUUUGGCAAGUUACUGUUACUCUGCUUCUCUUUAUAAAGCCAGAGACUUUUUCCAGCCAACUUCCUAGUUCAUCAAGAUAUAUCUCUUUUUGGGUUUGAAUAUGGGUUUGAUUGGGGGAUUGGAAUGGAUGAAUAGUUUCAGUAAGAAGCAAUGCAAGAGCUUGUUUUGGAGAGUGAAGGCAGCAGUGAAGAAGGCCGUGAAGAAUGGAGGCAAACAGCAGGUCAAUUUCCAAUAUGAUCCUUCUAGUUAUGCUCUCAAUUUUGAUGAUGGUUGCUGCCACUUUGGUGGAGGAAGAAGAUAUGAAGUGAAACCUGGAAAGAGUCAGGAUGGCAAUAAGACUAUAUGGAUUUAUGUUCUGUGGGAAGAAUCUUAAGGGAUGGAAAGAAUAUUGGUUUUAUUUAUUUGGUAUUUCUGUUUUGCUUUUAGAUUGGGAUCUUUUGGUGGCAUUAAUUGCUACAUCUUUUCAUUGUAGGUUUGGUUGGGUUUUCAAUUGGUAAAGAGAAGCAGUUUGUCCAGGAAAAUGUCUUGUAGAAGCAACCAAUGUAGAUGGGGGCAUACAAGUACCCCAAAUCACCAGCUUGUAGCUGGGACAAAUGCAUACACAUCAGUGCAAAAGUUGGUCUCCUACUCUUCUUAGGUAAGUCGCUGAGGGAAGUGCUCCUUACUGGUCUGGUCUAGCAGAACUCUGCAGCAUUAAAUGAACAAUGGCACCAUAAUUCUUAAAAUGUACCUCCAAAUCCAAUCCUGCUCAGCCAACUCGAAUUAUUUAGCAACUUGGCCAAGCUAGUCCUAAAACUCAGCUGCUCCAUUUGCAACACCAACAACCUCCCCUGUUUCUCAAACCCUUUCAAAUUUUGCCAGCAGCUCCAAGCAAUUUAUGUCGAGGAUAUCUCUUUAUAUUGUUUUCGAUUAAGACCUUCCCUUUGGCUGGUCAAUUUUGUUGCACCAUUGAGUAAUGCUUAGGUUAUCAAAUUUACUACAGCCAUAGACCAGAAAGCAUCCACUUAAGCAGCAUGUCAGCUAUUUCUUCAGGAGAAGAAUUUGUACUAUUCUUUUCUUCGUUCCCAGUUCUAUCAAUGAUAUUUUUUAAAUAUUAUGAUAAUUAGCCUUCCAUUCA